ensembl:lncRNA
UAUAAUCUGGUGGAAAAGAUCCGUUAAGAUACCCAAGGGCCUUUGAAAACCCCAGUAUCUUUUCCAGUUGAAUUUGUUUUGCUCUAAAAAUUAAAAUGUGCGAUGUGACGUGUUGUGUGUGAACACUUUGGUGGAGGAGACGGACUGUGGUGGAUGGACAAUCGAGAGGAAGCCGGAAAGGUCUAGGCUGUGAACAGAAGUACGUGGACAACAUCUGUAGAUUCGCUUCAUUUUGAUUUAUUCUCCUCUUCAACCUUAGAAAUCUCAACUUACAGAGAGGGGAAGAUGGGAACUUGGUUCGAUAGCUCUUUUUGUCUGUGGGGAGCUUACAUAUCAAGUCACAAAAGAAAAUACAUAUAACAAGAAGUAAUAA